rnacentral:rRNA from 1 species
GGUUAAAAAGCUCGUAGUUGGAUCUCAACAGCCUUGAAAGCGGUUAACUUUGUAGUUUUACUGCUUUAUAGGCUGUGCUUUUGCUGGAGGUUUAGGGGUGCUCUUGAUCGAGUGUCUCUGGAUGCCAGCAGGUUUACUUUGAAAAAAUUAGAGUGCUCAAAGCAGGCUAAAAUGCCUGAAUAUUCGUGCAUGGAAUAAUAGAAUAGGAUGUCGAUCCUAUUUUGUUGGUUUUCGGGACUCGACAUAAUGAUAAAUAGGGACAGUCGGGGGCAUUUGUAUUCAAACGACAGAGGUGAAAUUCUUGGACCGUUUGAAGACAAACUACUGCGAAAGCAUUUGCCAAGAAUGUUUUCAUUAAUCAAGAACGAAAGUUAGAGGUUCGAAGGCGAUUAGAUACCGCCCUAGUUCUAACCAUAAACGAUGCCAGCUAGCGAUCUGCCUGCGUUUUUACUGUAGACUGGGCAGGAAGCUUCCGGGAAACCAAAGCAUUUGGGUUCCAGGGGAAGUAUGGUUGCAA